rfam:Ipomoea nil DNA, scaffold: scaffold3056, cultivar: Tokyo-kokei standard.
GGGUGUUUGGUUUAGUGGUAUGAUUCUUGCUUUGGGUGCAAGAGGUCAUGAGUUUGAUUCUCAUAACACUUU